rnacentral:lncRNA from 1 species
UUUGGGUGAAUCCACUGCUCAGACUUCCCCUGCUCAGCCAUCCCCUACUAUGUGUGCUGCAAACUUUGCUGGUAAUAUGCUUACUGAGAGUCCUGUUUCUAAUUCCAAACUCUGCUUGCUUACUCAUAUUGCUUCUGUUUCCUGGAUAAUAGAUUCUGGAGCUUCUGACCACAUGACAUCUAAUAUACACUUACUCUUCAAUAUCACCCCUUUACUUGUACCUUAUCUUGUUACCCUUCAUAAUGGAUACAAAGUAAAAGUAACUUCAACUAGCUCUUUUGCUUUAACUCCUUGCAUUACUCUUCAUAAUGUACUGUUGUCCCUUCUUUCAAACACAAUUUGAUUUCUGUCCACAAGUUGGUGAAACAGUUGCACUGUAUUAUUCUAUUUACUGCGACUUCUUAUUUCCUUCACAUGUUACAGGCCCCUUCUCUGAAGAUGCCUCUGGAUCUUGGUAAAGAGGAGGCUGGUCUGUACAAAUUUGCUUGGGUGCCCCCUUGGCCCCUUCUCUGAAUAUGCCUCUGGAUCUUGGUAAAGAGGAGGCUGGUUUGUAAAAAUUUGCUUGGGUGCCCCCUUCAUCUUCUUCUGUUGCUUGCUCUUCUUUCAAUUCUG